AUACGGAGGGGGCUAGCGUUGUUCGGAAUUACUGGGCGUAAAGCGCACGUAGGCGGUGUAUAUAGUCAGAGGUGAAAGGCCUGGGCUCAACCUGGGAACUGCCUUUGAUACUUAUACGCUAGAGAGCGGGAGAGGGUAGCGGAAUUCCCAGUGUAGAGGUGAAAUUCGUAGAUAUUGGGAAGAACACCAGUUGCGAAGGCGGCUACCUGGCCCGGUACUGACGCUGAGGCGCGAAAGCGUGGGGAGCAAACAGGAUUAGAUACCCCAGUAGUCC
rnacentral:rRNA from 1 species